rnacentral:rRNA from 1 species
UACGGAGGGCGCAAGCGUUGUUCGGAAUCACUGGGCGUAAAGCGCGUGUAGGCGGCCGGGCAAGUAGGAUGUGAAAUCCCGAGGCUCAACCUCGGAACUGCAUUCGAAACUGCUCGGCUCGAGUCCCGGAGAGGAUGGCGGAAUUCCCGGUGUAGGGGUGAAAUCCGUAGAUAUCGGGAGGAACACCAGCGGCGAAGGCGGCCAUCUGGACGGUGACUGACGCUGAGAAGCGAAAGCGUGGGGAGCAAACAGG